AGCGAACGCUGGCGGCAGGCUUAACACAUGCAAGUCGAGCGGGCCCUUCGGGGUCAGCGGCAGACGGGUGAGUAACACGUGGGAACGUACCCUUUGGUUCGGAAUAACGCUGGGAAACUAGCGCUAAUACCGGAUACGCCCUUUUGGGGAAAGGCUUGCUGCCGAAGGAUCGGCCCGCGUCUGAUUAGCUAGUUGGUGGGGUAAUGGCCUACCAAGGCGACGAUCAGUAGCUGGUCUGAGAGGAUGAUCAGCCACACUGGGACUGAGACACGGCCCAGACUCAUACGGGAGGCAGCAGUGGGGAAUAUUGGACAAUGGGCGCAAGCCUGAUACAGCCAUGCCGCGUGAGUGAUGAAGGCCUUAGGGUUGUAAAGCUAUUUUGUCCGGGACGAUAAUGACGGUACCGGAAGAAUAAGCCCCGGCUCCCUUCGUC
rnacentral:rRNA from 1 species